UAAUGACAAUGAUUUCAUGGUGUUGGGAGUAAGAAUUGGAGAUCUGAUACUGCUAACAUGUUGGUUAGCAUCACAGCUUGUCCAUAGGGAUACUGGCUGGGGUAGCAUUUGGAUCUGUUUCAAGGUGCGUUCCUGCUGCUGCCUUGUGUGUUCAAUCCUGUGGACAAUGAUAAUCAUGCAAACCACAUAUAUGUUGCAUUUUUGUUUAUUAAAAUCCUUAAGUGAUUUUUUAAUGCUAUUAUUUAUUUUCCAUUUACUGUAAACUCACAAAUUUUUGUUUUUUAAUGCUGUUAUUUAUUUUCCAAUUAUUGAAAAUUCACAGAUUUUUGAUAUAUUUUUUUUACUGAAAAUUGCUACACCGAGAUAGAUUUUGCAAAAAUAAAAUUAUAUUUUAAAUUUUGAUAGCAUUAUUUAUUUGCAACAUGUCCUUAAUGACAAUAAUUAAUUUAAAUAAAUGCUUGCAAAUUUUUUUUGAAUUUACAGUAUAAAUAUGUUUUCAUUAUUUAUAUAUGCAUGAUAUUAUUAUACAUUGUAUUUUGCUUUAUAAUAAACAAAAUU